rnacentral:rRNA from 1 species
UACGUAGGGUCCGAGCGUUGUCCGGAAUUAUUGGGCGUAAAGAGCUCGUAGGCGGUUUGUCGCGUCUGCUGUGAAAACCCGGGGCUCAACCCCGGGCCUGCAGUGGGUACGGGCAGACUAGAGUGUGGUAGGGGAGACUGGAAUUCCUGGUGUAGCGGUGAAAUGCGCAGAUAUCAGGAGGAACACCGAUGGCGAAGGCAGGUCUCUGGGCCACUACUGACGCUGAGAAGCGAAAGCAUGGGGAGCGAACAGG